AUGCACAGAAUGCUUGAGUCCCUGACUGGGGACGACAAGCAUGAAAACAUCAAGGGUUUGAAGGAGUUGCAGGGCACCCUUGAAUCUGCACUGAAAUCAAAAAGGGUGCUACUUGUUUUGGAUGACAUGUGGGAAGAUAGGCAACAGGAAAAAUGGGAUGAGCUGCUAACUCCACUGCUUUCCAGUAAUGUUCCCGGAAAUAAAAUUCUCGUGACAACUCGAAAGCCAUCUGUUGCAAAAUUGGUUAAAGCUACAGGUCAGAUUAAUCUGAAUGGUAUAAAUGAAGAUGACUUCUGGAAUUUUUUUAAAGAAUGUGCCUUUGGAGAUGAGAACUACAAAGUUGGACGAAAGCUCAAGGAAAUUGGAAAGAGCAUGCUUGGUCGGUUAAAGGGUAAUCCUUUAGCAGCAAAAGGUGUUGGCAAAUUAUUGAGAAAGAAUCAUACUGUUGAUUUCUGGAGGAGAAUUCUGAAAGAUAGCGAAUGGAAACAACAAGCAGAUGACUACGAUAUCAUGCCGGCCUUGAUGAUCAGCUACAAAUAUUUGCCAGUGCACCUCCAGCGGUGCUUCUCAUACUGUGCUGUUUUCCCAAAGUAUUAUAAGUAUGAGAAAGAAUGUUUGGUCAAUAUGUGGAUAGCCCAAGGUUUGAUAUGUUCCACUGACAACAUGCAUAAGCGAAUGGAGGACACUGGAACUGAAUUUUUCAGUGACCUAGUUGAAUGGGGAUUUCUUCAAAAGGAAUUUUAA
rnacentral:rRNA from 1 species